AUGCUCACUUCGGCAGCACAAAUACUACAAUUGGAACAAUACAGAAAAGAUUAGCAUGAACCUGCGCAAGGAUGACACGCAAAUUUGUGAACAAUUCCACAUUUUU